AACGAACGCUGGCGGCAUGCCUAACACAUGCAAGUCGAACGAGACCUUCGGGUCUAGUGGCGCACGGGUUCGUAACGCGUUGGAACCUGCCCUUAGGUUCGGAAUAACUUCCCGAAAGGGGUUCCAAUACCGGAUAAUGUCUUCCGACCAAAGAUUUAUCGCCUUUGGAUGGGCCCGCGUUGCAUUACCUAGUUAGUAGGGUAAAAGCCUACCAAGGCGAAGUUCCAUAGCUGGUUUGAGAGGAUGAUCCGCCACACUGUCGCUGAGAAACGGCCCAGAAUCCUACAGGAGGCAGCAGUGGGGAAUACUGGCAAGUGGGGGGAAGCAUGAAGCAGUACUGGCGCGUGAGUGAUGAAGGCCUUAGGGUUGUAAAGUUCUUUUACACGGGAUGAUAAUGACAGUACCGGGAGAAUAAGCUCCGGCUAACUCCGUG
rnacentral:rRNA from 1 species